rnacentral:rRNA from 1 species
UCUGGUGGCCUCAGGUCAUCCGAGUUGUAAUCUAUAGAAGUGUUUUCCGUGCUGGCUCAUGUACAAGUCCCUUGGAACAGGGCGUCAUAGAGGGUGAGAAUCCCGUCCUUGACAUGAACUACCAGUGCUCUGUGAUACAUUUUCAACGAGUCGAGUUGUUUGGGAAUGCAGCUCAAAAUGGGUGGUAAAUUCCAUCUAAAGCUAAAUAUUGGCGAGAGACCGAUAGCGAACAAGUACCGUGAGGGAAAGAUGAAAAGCACUUUGGAAAGAGAGUUAAACAGUAUGUGAAAUUGUUGAAAGGGAAACGAUUGAAGUCAGUCGUGCUCUUUGGAUUCAGCCGGUUCUGCCGGUGUACUUCCUUUGAGUGGGGUCAACAUCAGUUUUGAUCGCUGGAUAAAGGCUGGAGGAACGUAGUACCCUCGGGUAAACUUAUAGCCUCCUGUCACAUACAGUGGUUGGGACUGAGGAACGCAGCACGCCUUUAUGGCCGGGAUUCGUCCACGUACGUGCUUAGGAUGUUGACAUAAUGGCUUUAAACGACCCGUCUUG